rnacentral:lncRNA from 1 species
AUGUAUUUUUACGUGUUAAAUUAUAUAAGUAAUACAAAUUUUCACUAUCUUUUAAAUCUAUUUUAUCAAGAUUACUCACAUAUUGACCAUACUCUUUUUUUCUAUUUUUUUUUUUUUUUUUUUUUUUUUUUUUUUUUUUUUUUUUUCUUUUUUUUUUUUUUUUUUUUUUGUCUUUUUCGUAUUCUAGCAUUCUUUUUAUUACCAUCCUUACGAUCACUAUCGUUACAUUUGUUAACAUUACCUCUUACCACUCCUGACUUAUUUACCAAACAAUCUUUCAUCAAAAUAUUUCUAAUAUUUAUCAAAUUUAAUCUUAUUUCUUUAUUCGUUUGUACAAUCAAUUGUAUGUACGAAUUUAUGUACGUACAUAGUAUAAUAAUAAAAACGGUUAUCACUUUUGUACUUAAUGCACUACUAGUAGUGCUACUAUUACUUCCAGACUUAUGUUCCAUAUUAACACUCGUUUCGUUAUCAAGAUUGGAUAAUAAUUCUAAAUAAGAAUAAAUACUACAUAAUACAUUUUUAGGACUAUGAA